AACGAACGCUGGCGGCAUGCCUAAUACAUGCAAGUCGAACGAUCACUUCGGUGAUAGUGGCGCACGGGUGCGUAACGCGUGGGAAUCUGCCCUUGGGUUCGGAAUAACAGCUGGAAACGGCUGCUAAUACCGGAUGAUGACGUAAGUCCACAGAUUUACCGCCCAGGGAUGAGCCCGCGUAGGAUUAGGUAGUUGGUGGGGUAAAGGCCUACCAAGCCUACGAUCCUUAGCUGGUCUGAGAGGAUGAUCAGCCACACUGGGACUGAGACACGGCCCAGACUCCUACGGGAGGCAGCAGUAGGGAAUAUUGGACAAUGGGGGCAACCCUGAUCCAGCAAUGCCGCGUGAGUGAUGAAGGCCCUAGGGUUGUAAAGCUCUUUUACCCGGGAUGAUAAUGACAGUACCGGGAGAAUAAGCCCCGGCUAACUCCGUGCCAGCAGCCGCCGUAA
rnacentral:rRNA from 1 species